GAUGAACGCUAGCGGCAGGCUUAAUACAUGCAAGUCGAGGGGCAGCAGUCCCGCAGCAAUGCGGGAGCUGGCGACCGGCAAACGGGUGCGGAACACGUACAGAACCUUCCUUCGAGCGGGGAAUAGCCCAGAGAAAUUUGGAUUAAUACCCCAUAGCAUUACGAAGUGGCAUCACUUUGUAAUUAAAGAUUUAUCACUCGAAGAUGGCUGUGCGGCUGAUAGGUAGUUGGCGGAGUAACGGCCCACCAAGCCUUCGAUCAGUAACUGGUGUGAGAGCACGACCAGUCACACGGGCACUGAGACACGGGCCCGACUCCUACGGGAGGCAGCAGUAAGGAAUAUUGGUCAAUGGGCGAAAGUCUGAACCAGCCAUGCCGCGUGGAGGAUGAAGGUCCUCUGGAUUG
rnacentral:rRNA from 1 species